rnacentral:rRNA from 1 species
GAUCAAGCUACAAAGGGCGCACGGUGAAUGCCCUGGCACUAGGAGCCGAUGAAGGACGUGAUAAGCUGCGAUAAGCUACAUGUAGGCGCACACAGCCUGUGAUAUGUAGAUUUCCGAAUGGGAAAACCCAUCUAGUUAUGCUAGAUACUGUAUACCGAAUACAUAGGUAUAUGGAGGUACACCUGGGGAACUGAAACAUCUAAGUACCCAGAGGAAGAGAAAGAAAAUUCGAUUCCCUAAGUAGCGGCGAGCGAAAGGGGAAGAGCCCAAACCAGGAACUUGUUCCUGGGGGUGCGGAUAGAUCAUAACGCUUUGAUUUCUUUAGUUGAAGAGAACUGGAAAGUUCCGUCGUAGAAGGUAAUAACCCUGUAGGCGAAAAGGAAAGAAAAGGAGAUCUACUCCAGAGUACCACGAGACACGUGAAACCUUGUGGGAAGCUGGGAGGACCAUCUCCCAAGGCUAAAUACUACCUAGUGACCGAUAGUGAAGCAGUACC